GACGAACGCUGGCGGCGUGCCUAACACAUGCAAGUCGAACGGAGAUACUUUUGAAGCUUGCGAUAAAGUAUCUUAGUGGCGGACGGGUGAGUAACGCGUGGGUAAUCUGCCCAUAAGUGGGGAACAACAGUUGGAAACGACUGCUAAUACCGCAUAAUCUGCCUUAGGGUAGGAAAGGUGGCCUCUUAACAAUGCUGCCGCUUAUGGAUGAGCCCGCGUCUGAUUAGCUAGUUGGUGGGGUAAAGGCCUACCAAGGCGACGAUCAGUAGCCGGCCUGAGAGGGUGAACGGCCACACUGGGACUGAGACACGGCCCAGACUCCUACGGGAGGCAGCAGUGGGGAAUAUUGCGCAAUGGGGGAAACCCUGACGCAGCGACGCCGCGUGAGCGAAGAAGGCCUUAGGGUUGUAAAGCUCUGUUUUAGGGGACGAAUGUUUAUAGGAGUAAUAUGCCUGUGAAAUGACGGUACCCUAAGAGGAAGCCCCGGCUAACUACGUGCCAGCAGCCGCGGUAAA
rnacentral:rRNA from 1 species